UACGUAGGUGACCAGCGUUGUCCGGAUUUACUGGGCGUAAAGAGCGCGCAGGCGGUCGUUCAAGUCGAGUGUGAAAGCCCCUGGCUCAACUGGGGAGGGUCACUCGAUACUGAUCGACUUGAAGGCAGGAGAGGGAAGCGGAAUUCCCGGUGUAGUGGUGAAAUGCGUAGAUAUCGGGAGGAACACCAGUGGCGAAGGCGGCUUCCUGGCCUGUUCUUGACGCUGAGGCGCGAAAGCUAGGGGAGCAAACGGG
rnacentral:rRNA from 1 species